GGGAGGCAGCAGUGGGGAAUAUUGCACAAUGGGCGAAAGCCUGAUGCAGCAACGCCGCGUGAGCGAUGAAGGCCUUCGGGUCGUAAAGCUCUGUCCUCAAGGAAGAUAAUGACGGUACUUGAGGAGGAAGCCCCGGCUAACUACGUGCCAGCAGCCGCGGUAAUACGUAGGGGGCUAGCGUUAUCCGGAAUUACUGGGCGUAAAGGGUGCGUAGGUGGUUUCUUAAGUCAGAGGUGAAAGGCUACGGCUCAACCGUAGUAAGCCUUUGAAACUGGGAAACUUGAGUGCAGGAGAGGAGAGUGGAAUUCCUAGUGUAGCGGUGAAAUGCGUAGAUAUUAGGAGGAACACCAGUUGCGAAGGCGGCUCUCUGGACUGUAACUGACACUGAGGCACGAAAGCGUGGGGAGCAAACAGGAUUAGAUACCCUGGUAGUCCACGCCGUAAACGAUGAGUACUAGCUGUCGGAGGUUACCCCCUUCGGUGGCGCAGCUAACGCAUUAAGUACUCCGCCUGGGAAGUACGCUCGCAAGAGUGAAACUCAAAAGCUGAAUUGAC
rnacentral:rRNA from 1 species